GCUAGCCUCUCCCUCUCUCUUCUCUCACCGACAGGUGGGGCCCGCUUGUCAGGAGUCUCUACUACCUCCGGCCGCCCGCACUAUCGCUUUACUGCGUCACUGCACACCCGCGCCGCAUGGCCUGCCGGCGCCGCUCCACCUCCCGCGCCCCCUCAGCUGCUCCGCCGCUCGGCCUCUCUCCAAGCGCCGCUCGCCCCCUCGUUUCCCCUUCCACCAGAAACGGCAACCCCACCACCGUUUGCCAUUAAUGGCGCCGCCCGCCUUCUCCCCUCCACAGGCGCCGCUUCCACUCCCUCCUUCGCCCCUAUAAAGCGCCCGCGCCUCCUGCUGCCGCUUCUCCUUUGCGCCCCCGCGCCAACGCCCCUGAACACGCCGCCACCCGCACAGCGCCGCCGCUCCGCGCCCCUGGUCCGCGCGCUACCGCAGGCCCCUGUGCGCCGCCGCCGGACCAAGCGCCGCUUCCUCCACUCGUCGCCGCAGCCGGUGAGAGUCUCCCUCGCGCUCCCCAUUCUCUUCUCCAUCUUCUGCGCCGCCCCAGCAAGCCCCUGCGCCUCCAAAUCGCCGGCGAGCCGAACUUCCAAAGAUCCCUGCGCAGGCGUGCGGUUGAAGAAGAAGAUAAGGCGCACUUUUUCGUUUCGGCCCCUGAGAAUCUUAUCUACCCUUGAUCUUUCAGCUUUUCACAAGCCUGUACCCUGUUUCUCGAAGGAUCGCUGCUUGGAAGCUUUAAAGGUUAAGAGUUUCAAGAAAACAAGAUUUGAGAAGCAGCGGGGGUAACUUUUUUGUUGGAGAAAG